rnacentral:rRNA from 1 species
CAUAGCGACUAUCGUGGCAUAUCAAUAAGCGGAGGAAAAGAAACUAACAAGGAUUCCCCUUAGUAACGGCGAGUGAAGCGGGAAGAGCUCAAAUUUGAAAUCUUCAAGGGUUUACCUUGACGAAUUGUAGUUUAAAGAAGUGUUUUCUGUUAGAGAGUUUGGUAAAAGUUCUUUGGAAUAGGACAUCAUAGAGGGUGAGAAUCCCGUAUUUGAUCCAUUAUUUCCAGCUGUGUGAUACACUUUCAAAGAGUCGGAUUGUUUGGGAAUGCAGUCCAAAAUGGGUGGUAAAUUUCAUCUAAAGCUAAAUACUGGCGAGAGACCGAUAGCGAACAAGUACCGUGAGGGAAAGAUGAAAAGAACUUUGAAAAGAGAGUUAAACAGUACGUGAAAUUGUCAAAAGGGAAGCGUUCGACACCAGUGUUGUUUUCUCGAAAAUCAAUUAAAAAAGAUUGGACUUUGUGUUGUAUUGACUUCAUCAGCUUUCUGCACUCUUUUCUUGUCUUUUUUAAUGCACUUUUCGUUUAACAAGUCAACAUCAAUUUCUUUUGUUGUAAAAGAGGUCAUUGAGGAAGGUGGCUUUCUUUUCGGAGAAAGUGUUUAUAGCCUUGUGCCUUCUACAAUCGGAGAGAUUGAGGUCUGCAGCGUAGAUCCUUCGGGGUUAGAUACAGUUUGUGCUAAGUUAUAGCCUUUCAUAGACAACUUGUUGACUAUGAUCAGUCAUGUAGCUUACUCGCUGAUGCUAUUUUACCUACGCUUAGGAUGUUGACGAGACUGUCGAUCUC